rnacentral:lncRNA from 1 species
UUCACUUUUACUACCAACUGAUAAAUUAAAACAAUCUUUACCAUUCAGUGAUAACAAGCACUUUUUUACAUUUUAAUAUUUUAUGAUGUAUUUAAAUGAGUAGUUAUUGUUGCAAACUCCAUUAGAAAUUUGAAUUGAGAUGAGUUUUGGAAUAAGGGAAAGGGGCAUGUGAAAAAAAAAUUGGGUGGGGGGUGUUCAAUUUUUCUCAUUUCAGAUUUCAUAAAUAAAAAGAAAAUUUCUUCAAACAUUUUUUUGAGAGGAUUAAUAUUCAACAGCAUAGUGCAUUGCUCAAAGGCAAAAACAAAAUUUUAAGUUCAUUAGACCACAUUCAUUCUGUGUCAGAAACCUAUGCUGUGUCAACUAUUUAAUCACAAUCCAAAUUUAGAGCUGAAUCCAGCUUGAAUGUUGUGUCCAUACUUGCCCCA